CCGCUGCAACCAAACAUGUCAGGACUCUUGGGUUUCUUCAUGUGUUUCUUCCAAAUAUUAUGAUGUUUGUGGCUUUGGUUCUCUGGGGUGUUACUGAAGGUUUUCUGUAUGAGACGGUCUCUUGCUGUGCUCUUUAUAUUCUGAGGCCUCUGAUGUUGAUUUAUGUUGCGCCAUAUUUAAAGAAGAUGUCAGGUGUGGCAAUUCUCUCUGAAUUUGUCAUCUUUAUGGUAGUUUAUUGUUCAGUUAUUUUAGGUCAGGCUUUGGAACCACCUAAAUAUCCAUUUGCAUAUUCUGAAAUGGCUGACACAGGCAUUGCAAUAUUUGUGUUCGGAUUUUUGACUCCAUUAUUUGUUGUCUACAUUAUUUACAUAUUGACUAAAGUGAAGAGGAAUCCAUGCCGCAGAGAGACGUGUAAAUGCUUAUGGGAUAAAGUAACAGAUGUAGCUGUUUUCAGCUAUUUUGUUCUGCCUCCUUUACAAUUCAUCCUAAUGUUGUCCAGUUUUGGAAGAGGGAGUUAUUUUUUAGUACUUUUCCCAGUUUUCUUUUUCCUGUCAUUUUCCUGUUUGCGUGGCCUAAACAGAGAGAAAAGCUGUUCAAAUUUACUCGCUAAUAUCUCAUGGAUAAUCUACAUGUUUAUAAUAACUGGAUUAGUGGUCUUCAUCUACAUUUCAACUCUG